rnacentral:rRNA from 1 species
CCUACGGGUGGCAGCAGUGAGGAAUAUUGGUCAAUGGUCGGGAGACUGAACCAGCCAAGCCGCGUGAGGGAGGAAGGUACAGAGUAUUGUAAACCUCUUUUGUCAGGGGACAAAGACCGGGACGCGUCCUCGGAUGAGUGUACCUGAAGAAAAAGCAUCGGCUAACUCCGUGCCAGCAGCCGCGGUAAUACGGAGGAUGCGGGCGUUAUCCGGAUUUAUUGGGUUUAAAGGGUGCGCAGGCGGCCUGUUAAGGCUGCCGUGAAAGGCCGGGGCUCAACCCCGGCCCGGCCGUGGAAACUGGCAGUCUCGAGUUGGAGAGAAGUAUGCGGAAUGCGCGGUGUAGCGGUGAAAUGCAUAGAUAUCGCGCAGAACUCCGAUUGCGAAGGCAGCAUGCCGGCUCCACACUGACGCUGAGGCACGAAAGCGUGGGUAUCGAACAGGAUUAGAUACCCGAGUAGUC